CCCCGGUGAUGCGUUGUGCAGACCUCACUACCCUCUGGAGAGCCUUACGGUUGUGGGCGGAGCAGUUGCCGUACCAGGCGGUGAUACAGCCCGCCAGGAUGCUCUCGAUUGUAGUCGAGUGUAGGGUGUGUGUGCGUGCAUCUCUGUGUGUGUGUGUGUGUGUGUGUGUGUGUGUGUGUGUGUGUGUGUGUGUGUGUGUGUGUGUGUGUGUACUCGCGCGUGGUGAGUGUGUGCAGGCAUGCGCCUGCACGUGUGUGUGUUUACGUGUGUGUCUGUGUGUGCAUGUGUGCAUGCUGGCGAGUAUAGGAGCUGUGAGUGUUUGAUAUCUGUAAGAGUUAUUUCCAAGCGAAUGUUCUGUGUUUAUUUUUAGCCCGCUAAUAGGGGAAGAUGUUUCGUGUGAAUCUGUGUGUACAUGCUGGAGUAUGUUGCUGGUGCUGGGUAUACUUGUGCGUAUGCAUAUGUGUGUGUGUUUGUUCUGAGUGAGUGUGUGUGUAUAUGUUUUCGAGUGUGUCUCUAGCUAGUAGGUAUAACUGUGUUUCCAAUUAAGUUGAACCACAGGCCGGAUCAAUGCGGCCCCUCUGUGUGUAGGAAUGAGCAGCCCUGGGCCCUCGGAGCAUGCCCACGAAUAAUUUAUCACACACACAGGGUCUGGGCAGGGGGAGAGUGGGGAGGAUGGGGUGGGGAGGGGGAGAAGGGGGAGAGCCACAAGGACGGAGUGUCCAGCCUACAGGAGGAGGCUAUGCAGCAGGGAUAGAGAGAGGGAGAGAGAGAGAGAGAGAGAGAGAGAGAGAGAGAGAGGAAGAGAGAGAGAGAGAGAGCGAGAGAAAAAGAGAGCAAGAGAGGGAUCGAGCGAGGACGAGAGAUAGGAAGAGAGAGCGAGAGAGGGACAAGGUCAGGACCCACAGGAAUAAAAUUGUCCCUGUUAAAUCAUUUACAUGAAGACAGAGCAAAUCAACAAUAAACUAUUUAUUUCUUCACUGGGGAGUCUACAGGGAGGAAAAGAGGGGAAGGGAAAAAAUUUAAACUAGGGUAAGUACAGAGGUUAAGGGAAAGAAAGUGAUAAAAGUGCUGAUAUAUAUAGACUUACGCAAAGCACACAUACUAUAAAUACAGUGAUCAAUAUUUCCUAUUUUGAGCAAUGACUGAGGGGUAUAUCUGCAUGAUAAGUGUGAUGCUUUUCAUUCAGAAGGAUGUGAUCCGUUAGAACACGGCACUCUAGCCUGGACUUGACUCUCUCAUUUUAGGAAGCAAACAUAUAUUCAGCUAGGGUACACAUCGCAUUAGGAUCUUCUGAAGAAGCACAUCAGACAUUACAGGAAAGAGAGAGAAGAGAGAGUCAGAGAGAGAGGUGAAAAAGAGAGAGAGAGGGGGGGGGGAGAGAAGAAAGAGAGAGAGAGGAAAGAGAGAGAGGAAAGAGAGAGAGGAAAGAGAGGAAAGAGAGGGGAAAGAGAGAGAGAGUGAGAC
ensembl:lncRNA